rnacentral:ncRNA from 1 species
AAAAAAGCAAUGACGGAGAGAAAGAUAUCUAUUCUUUAACUACAGAGAGCCAACAUUUGCUGAGAGUUGGUGUUAAAGGGGAUAUGCAAUGAUCACUCCAGAGCUGCUAAUUCGAAAGAUUAUUUUGAGUAGAUGAGGCCGGGUGCUACCGUUAUAUAGCUAGGGUUCAAGGUAAAUCCUUCGACCUGAUAAAGAGCUGAUUGUCUUAUGUUUGUUAGGCAAUUGGGAAUUAGGGUGGUACCGCGGGAAAUAACUCUCGCCCCUAAG